rnacentral:rRNA from 1 species
GCAACUAACGCAUUAAGUUAUCCGCCUGGGGAGUACGGUCGCAAGAUUAAAACUCAAAGGAAUUGACGGAACCUCAAAGCAAUGGACUGCAGAUCGUGCGAAUGUACGUCGAAAUUACUGGGCGUAAAGGGCGCGUAGGCGGUCGAUCAAGUCACAAUGUGAAAGCCCACGGCUUAACCGUGUGAAGUGCAUCUGAAACUGGUCGGCUUGAGUAUCGGAGAGGAAAGUGGAAUUCCCGGUGUAGAGGUGAAAUUCGUAGAUAUCGGGAGGAAUACCGGUGGCGAAGGCGACUUUCUGGACGAAUACUGACGCUGAGGCGCGAAAGCGUGGGGAGCAAACAGGAUUAGAUACCCUGGUAGUCCACAGCUGUAAACGAUGUGCACUAGAUGUGGGGAAGUGUUGACCUUUCCUGUGUCGCAGCUAACGCAUUAAGUGCACCGCCUGGGGAGUACGGCCGCAAGGUUAAAACUCAAA